rnacentral:rRNA from 1 species
GAAACGACUGCUAAGACUGGAUAGGAGACAAGAAGGCAUCUUUUUGUUUUUAAAAGACCUAGCAAUAGGUAUGCUUAGGGAGGAGCUUGCGUCACAUUAGUUAGUUGGUGGGGUAAAGGCUUACCAAGACUAUGAUGUGUAGCCGGGCUGAGAGGUUGAACGGCCACAUUGGGACUGAGACACGGCCCAAACUCCUACGGGAGGCAGCAGUAGGGAAUUUUCGGCAAUGGAGGAAACUCUGACCGAGCAACGCCGCGUGAACGAUGAAGUAUUUCGGUACGUAAAGUUCUUUUAUUAGGGAAGAAUAAAUGAUGGAAAAAUCAUUCUGACGGUACCUAAUGAAUAAGCCCCGGCUAACUAUGUGCCAGCAGCCGCGGUAAUACAUAGGGGGCAAGCGUUAUCCGGAAUUAUUGGGCGUAAAGGGUGCGUAGGCGGUUAAAUAAGUUUAUGGUCUAAGUGCAAUGCUUAACAUUGUGAUGCUAUAAAAACUGUUUAGCUAGAGUAAGAUAGAGGCAAGUGGAAUUCCAUGUGUAGUGGUAAAAUGCGUAAAUAUAUGGAGGAACACCAGUAGCGAAGGCGGCUUGCUGGGUCUUUACUGACGCUGAGGCACGAAAGCGUGGGGAGCAAACAAGAUUAGAUACCCUGGUAGUCCACGCCGUAAACGAUGAGUACUAAAUGUUGGGUAAAACCAGUGUUGAAGUUAACACAUUAAGUACUCCGCCUGAGUAGUACGUACGCAAGUAUGAAACUUAAAGGAAUUGACGGGACUCCGCACAAGCGGUGGAUCAUGUUGUUUAAUUCGAAGGUACCCGAAAAACCUCACCAGGUCUUGACAUGCUUCUGCAAAGCUGUAGAAACACAGUGGAGGUUAUCAGUUGCACAGGUGGUGCAUGGGUUGUCGUCAGCUCGUGUCGUGAGAUGUUGGGUUAAGUCCCGCAACGAGCGCAACCCUUAUUGUUAGUUGCCAGCACGUAAUGGUGGGGACUUUAGCAAGACUGCCAGUGAUAAAUUGGAGGAAGGUGGGGACGACGUCAAAUCAUCAUGCCCCUUAUGACCUGGGCUACAAACGUGAUACAAUGGCUGUUACAAAGGGUAGCUGAAACGCAAGUUUUUGGCGAAUCUCAAAAAAACAGUCUCAGUUCGGAUUGAAGUCUGCAACUCGACUUCAUGAAGUUGGAAUCGCUAGUAAUCGCGAAUCAGCAUGUCGCGGUGAAUACGUUCUCGGGGUUUGUACACACCGCCCGUCA